rnacentral:lncRNA from 1 species
UCUUAUUUUUCAAUACUUCAACAUAAUACUUAUAUAGAUAUGUAUCUAUCUUUGUCCAGUUGUGAUUGAUUUUUAAUUAAUAAUUACUCAAUGCACUUUUUCAUCCAUAUUCAUAUUUUUUCCAUUUUGUAUCACACCUCCAAUCCUCCAUACGUUAUGUUUAGCAUACAAAUCAAUAUUUUUCAUUGAUUCCUCACAUACAUGUAUAAAUGGUCUAAAUGGUGG